AGUGAACGCUGGCGGUNGGCCUAACACAUGCAAGUCGAACGGCAGCACAGUAAGAGCUUGCUCUUAUGGGUGGCGAGUGGCGGACGGGUGAGGAAUACAUCGGAAUCUACUCUGUCGUGGGGGAUAACGUAGGGAAACUUACGCUAAUACCGCAUACGACCUACGGGUGAAAGCAGGGGAUCUUCGGACCUUGCGCGAUUGAAUGAGCCGAUGUCGGAUUAGCUAGUUGGCGGGGUAAAGGCCCACCAAGGCGACGAUCCGUAGCUGGUCUGAGAGGAUGAUCAGCCACACUGGAACUGAGACACGGUCCAGACUCCUACGGGAGGCAGCAGUGGGGAAUAUUGGACAAUGGGCGCAAGCCUGAUCCAGCCAUACCGCGUGGGUGAAGAAGGCCUUCGGGUUGUAAAGCCCUUUUGUUGGGAAAGAAAUCCAGCCGGCUAAUACCUGGUUGGGAUGACGGUACCCAAAGAAUAAGCACCGGCUAACUUCGUGCCAGCAGCCGCGGUAAUACGAAGGGUGCAAGCGUUACUCGGAAUUACUGGGCGUAAAGCGUGCGUAGGUGGUCGUUUAAGUCCGUUGUGAAAGCCCUGGGCUCAACCUGGGAACUGCAGUGGAUACUGGACGACUAGAGUGUGGUAGAGGGUAGCGGAAUUCCUGGUGUAGCAGUGAAAUGCGUAGAGAUCAGGAGGAACAUCCAUGGCGAAGGCAGCUACCUGGACCAACACUGACACUGAGGCACGAAAGCGUGGGGAGCAAACAGG
rnacentral:rRNA from 1 species